UACGAAGGGGGGCUAGCGUUGCUCGGAAUCACUGGGCGUAAAGCGCACGUAGGCGGCUUUUUAAGUCAGGGGUGAAAUCCUGGAGCUCAACUCCAGAACUGCCUUUGAUACUGAGAGGCUUGAGUCCGGGAGAGGUGAGUGGAACUGCGAGUGUAGAGGUGAAAUUCGUAGAUAUUCGCAAGAACACCAGUGGCGAAGGCGGCUCACUGGCCCGGUACUGACGCUGAGGUGCGAAAGCGUGGGGAGCAAACAGG
rnacentral:rRNA from 1 species